UACGUAGGGACCGAGCGUUGUCCGGAAUCAUUGGGCGUAAAGAGCGUGUAGGCGGCUUGCUAAGUCCUGCGUGAAAUCUCGGGGCUCAACCCCCGAGCGGUCGUGGGAAACUGGCAGGCUAGAGUGCGGGAGAGGAGAGUGGAAUUCCUGGUGUAGCGGUGAAAUGCGCAGAUAUCAGGAAGAACACCCGUGGCGAAGGCGGCUCUCUGGAACGCAAACUGACGCU
rnacentral:rRNA from 1 species